rnacentral:misc_RNA from 1 species
AAGUCGUAACAAGGUUUCCGUAGGUGAACCUGCGGAAGGAUCAUUAAAAAAAUUUUGAGGUAUUUUAUACCUCUUGUAUUUAAAACCCAACUCUUUUAAACCUAAUUUUUUAAUAAAUAAAAAAAAACUUUCAACAACGGAUCUCUUGGCUCUC